rnacentral:rRNA from 1 species
CACCUCCAGCAUUCCCAGUAUUGGAGGCACUGCCUGCCCGGUGACAUUAGUUAAACGGCCGCGGUAUUCUGACCGUGCAAAGGUAGCAUAAUCAUUUGUUCUCUAAAUAAGGACUUGUAUGAAAGGCCACACGAGGGUUUAACUGUCUCUUACUUCCAAUCAGUGAAAUUGACCUUCCCGUGAAGAGGCGGGAAUAAAACAAUAAGACGAGAAGACCCUAUGGAGCUUUAAUUAACUAGCUCAAAAGAAUCUAUCUACCAGACCGACAGGAACAACAUACUCCUUCCAUGAGCUAACAAUUUAGGUUGGGGCGACCUCGGAGCAUAAAACAACCUCCGAGUGAUAUUAAUCUAGACGUACCAGUCAAAAUACUCACUUACUUAUUGAUCCAAAAACCUCUUUGAUCAACGGAACAAGUUACCCUAGGGAUAACAGCGCAAUCCUAUUUAAGAGUCCAUAUCGACAAUAGGGUUUACGACCUCGAUGUUGGAUCAGGACAUCCUAAUGGUGCAGCAGCUAUUAAGGGUUCGUUUGUUCAACGAUUAAAGUCCU